CCUGCCACUCAAGACAUUUUAUGAUUUUGCCCCUUCUUACCUGUAGAGGGUCAACUAUUAAUGCUUUUAUACAAUUCUUUCUUUUAGUAUCUGCAGAGCCUAAUGAAAUGAUUGGAAUAUAAUAGACCCAGUUUUUAUCAUCAUCUGUGGACUCCUUGCUGCCCUGACUCACCCACUGGACUGAACCUUCCCAGGCACUAACCAGUGUCGUUAAUUCACUUCCAUUUGCCACUGACUCUAUGGACACAAUUGGAUAAGGUUAUUUUAUCAAGACUUUAACUGGAAGGGUCCAGGAGCUCCAAAUUUAUCUUGGGACCUUAAGAAGAGGGGAUCACCUAACCCACAGGUGGGUGGCCAUUCGUCUUCAGUGUGUACCCCUUCCAAAUGCAUCCUGAACUGCUGGGACUUCUUUGAAAAGCACCUUCUUUUCCCUGUCUCCUCCUCAGUCCUCUCUUCAGUUAGGCCAUCAAACUCCAAACAAUCAUGCAACCAGAGCCUCUAAUGAUGGCCCCUUCUGCCAGGAACCUUUAAAUUUCCUCUGAGGGAGCUCUGACUGUUGUUUCUCAACAACUGCACCCCCUGUCAGCAGGAAGCAGUUAAGAUCAUCUUCCUCCUUACCUUGAAUCUACCAGCGGUUACAUGUACUUCUUUAGAGGGGUGAAUGAGAGCCAGGUGGGAGGGGGUCCCUGGAGAAAUUCCAGUCAGUCUGCCCAUUGAGGUGGAGCCUUGGGAAGUUCAUGCCCUUUGCAGUGGGGAGGGGCCUGGCCCCACCUCUUCCUAUGUGGAACCCAGUAUUCAAAUAGCAGCAGGAAGCUCUCUAGCAGGGGACUCUGAAACAGGAGGAUGCCUGUCCCCCCUCCUCCUUUUUUUUCCCUUUUCACCCAAUAAAACC
rnacentral:lncRNA from 1 species